UUUCCUUCAGCCUCUGCUGUCUGGCCGCUCUGUCUAGGUCCUGGGCCACCGGAGAGCCCUGUCCCUCCUUUCUGAAGGCGCUCCCAGGAAGCAGCGGCGGGAGCGCACCACCUUCACCCGGAGCCAACUGGAGGAGCUGGAGACACUGUUUGCCAAGACCCAGU
rnacentral:sRNA from 1 species